rnacentral:rRNA from 1 species
UAACGACUCUCGGCAACGGAUAUCUCGGCUCUCGCAUCGAUGAAGAACGUAGCGAAAUGCGAUACUUGGUGUGAAUUGCAGAAUCCCGUGAACCAUCGAGUCUUUGAACGCAAGUUGCGCCCCAAGCCUUUUUGGUGGAGGGCAYGUCUGCCUGGGUGUCACG